CAUUCGAGUGGCGGACGGGUGAGUAACGCGUGGGUAACCUGCCUUACACAGGGGGAUAACACCUGGAAACAGGUGCUAAUACCGCAUAAGCGCACAGGGCCGCAGGGCCCGGUGUGAAAAACUCCGGUGGUGUAAGAUGGACCCGCGUCUGAUUAGCUUGUUGGCGGGGUAGGGGCCCACCAAGGCGACGAUCAGUAGCCGGCCUGAGAGGGUGGACGGCCACAUUGGGACUGAGACACGGCCCAAACUCCUACGGAAGGCAGCAG
rnacentral:rRNA from 1 species